UUCUGAUAGCCUGGACUGUUGGUUUGUUCUGCUAGUUCUUGUUCCCUGACAAAAUGCAGUGAACAGGUAACCAAAUCUUGAUAAUUUUCCACCUUGGAAUACCUGAUAAUAGUGAAUGACAAUUUGUGUUCGUCAAUGGACCUGAUAUAUAGACGCUGGUGCCCUUGCCAAGCCACUCUCAUCUUAUCAUCCACGCGCCACCCUUGCUAAGCAGCCAUGAUCUCAUCAUCCACACGAACAGGAGCUUUGCACACCAACUGAAUAGGGGUGGAGAGGUCACUGCAUCAUACGAAGUUCUCUGUGAUUAGUAUCUAAUAUGAUUAUGAAAUAAUUUCAUUCUUCGGUUCAUUUUAGCAAUUUUUUUUUAAUUUUAGUAUGUUAGAGACUGUGUACUGUUUGCUGCUAAUUACUCUUAUUCUCACCAGUCCUAUAUACAAUUAUUUACUUAAAAAAAUAUACACCAUUUUAGUUGUGAUCCCAUCUUAAGAGAAGAUACACUAACAAAAAAUCACACUUUUAUGAAUAUGUCACAUGAUAGUGAUGUAAUAUAUUUCAAGUGUUGGUUCUGCACCUCAUACUGUGAAUAGUUUGUUCCUCAACUUUAGUUGCAGGUCAUCCUUUUAUUUUCUAUAAUCGUCAACUCAGGUUGUAGAAAAUGGACUAAUUAGACUUUCUUAGGAUGAUGGGGGCAAUUCAAUAUUUAGCAAUUAAAAAACACACAUUACCUUAUUUACAGUUGAUUUCUAACCGAUAUAGUGUCAUUAAGAAAUGAGUGACAAAUAAGUCAUUUUGGUGACAUGUAAGGUAAAUCAAAACAAUUGGGCUGCAGUUCUUUUUAAGCUGGAGUGGGGAAAACCUCUCCUAUCUCCAUUGUGGGAAACAAAUUGUUAAAAAUGGUAUCUCAGUGAGGCUAGCUAGUGUUAACUAAAACCCCACCAAACUAAGAACACUAUAAUGUGAUGCCAUCCCAUCACAGAAACAAGUCUCGGCUGAGUACUAGUUAUAAUUAGGUACAGAAAGGACACCACAACCAUUUCAACACAGAGAGACACACCAAAAUGAACACAUCAAAGUGGCCAUGCUCUAAAUUAAUUUCCCAGCCAUACUUGGUAGUGAACACUUCAUUUGCCAUCUAUUUUGCAUUUGGCUACGUGGAAGUUUCAUGGGGAUAUCUCGUGUUCAUUGGAUUCCAGUCUGUAUUACAUGCGUGUCCUACAAAAAGCAUUGGCAAUAAAUAUGCAUACAUCAUUGGGUUUCCGUAGCUUAAGUAUGAUAGCCAAGUUAUUUUAUAACUACCGAAUUACCAUUGUUUUGUUCAAAAAUAAAUAAAUAAGUGGCAAUUCAGUAGUUGUACCCAUGAAUGUUUAUUUUAUCAUUAAGAAACUUUAGUGAACAUUAUCUCAUCUUCAGAUCAUGUUAACAGAUAUUGUGCAUUCCUUGCCGACCUACAAUAUUGGAACUUUUCUGAACCAUUUUUGGUGGAUGUCCCUUACUGAUUUGUCCUAUGGCAACCAUAUUAGCUUCUUUGGUUGGGUCAUGUGCCAAUAAGUUGAAAGAGAUCAUUACUGAAGAGGUGAUACUUAUUCUAGGGAUACAAGAAGAGCUCGCAGAGUUGCAGCGCAAAACAGAACUUAUACAUUGUUGUAUUACUGAUGCUGAGACAAGGAGGAUGGAAGAGUCAACAGUUGACAACUGGCUUGGUCAGCUAAGAGAAGUUCUGUAUGAUAUUGAUGAUGUUAUUGACUUGGCUAGAUUUAAGGGAAGCAUUCUACUAACUGAUCAUCCUUCAUCAACAUCAUCAAGGAAAUCAAUUGCUUGCACUGGCCUGUCAAUUUCUGCUUGCUUUUCUAAUAUUCAAACACGUCAUGAGGUUGCUGUUAAGAUUAGAAGUCUGAACAGGAAGAUAGACAACAUUUCAAAGGACAGAGUGUUUUUGACACUAAAGAAUACACCUCCUACUGGAAACAGUUCAGUAUUAGCGAGAAAAAGUUCCCACCUGCUUGAGCCCAACAUUGUUGGCAAGGAGGUCAUACAUGCAUGCAGAAAAGUAGUGGACUUAGUUCUUGAACAUAAGGAGAGGAAACAAUACAAGGUUGCAAUUGUUGGAACUGGAGGAGUUGGUAAGACAACAUUAGCUCAGAAAAUAUAUAAUGAUAAAAAAAUAAGAGGAAAUUUCAACAAAAAGGCGUGGGUUUGUGUUUCCAAAGUGUACUCUGAAGCUUCUCUUUUGAGAGAACUUCUUCGAAUUAUGGAAGUUCAUCAUGACCAAGAUGAAUCAGUUGGAGAGCUCCAAAGCAAGCUUGAAAUAGCAAUUAAGGAGAGGAGUUUUCUCCUUGUGUUGGAUGACUUGUGGCAAUCCGACACUUGGAUAAAUUUACUAAGAACUCCACUGCAUGCUGCAGCAACAGGAGUAAUUCUAGUAACAACUAGAAAUGAUACUGUUGCUCUAGAAAUUGGUGUGGACUAUACGCAUCGAGUUGAUUUGAUGCCGGUUGAUGUAGGAUGGGAGCUACUUUGGAAGAGCAUGAACAUCAAUGAACGCAUAGAAGUGCAAACUCUGCAGGAUACUGGGAUUGAGAUUGUUCGCAAAUGUGGUUGCCUUCCUCUUGGAAUCAAGGUUAUUGCUAGAGUGUUAGUGAGUAAAGAACAAACAGAGAACGAAUGGAAAAACAUUUUGAGCAACAAUGCUUGGUUCACGAACAAGCUUCCUAAUGAUCUGAGAGGUGCUUUGUAUCUUAGUUAUGAUGAGUUACCACGGCAUUUAAAACAAUGCUUUCUUUAUUGUAGUGUAUAUCCUGAAAAUGCAACCAUUUACCGUGAUGAUCUUACAAGGAUGUGGAUCGCUGAAGGCUUUAUAGAGGACCAUGGAGGUCAAUUACUAGAAGAUACGGCAGACGACUAUUACUAUGAGCUGAUCCAUCGGAACCUUCUCCAACCAAAUGGUUUAUAUUAUGACCACAGCAGCUGCAAAAUGCAUGAUCUUUUAAGGCAUCUUGCUUGUUAUUUGUCAAGGGAAGAAUGUUUUGUUGGAAACCCAGAAUCAUUGGUAGGUAAUACUAUGUCUAAACUGCGGCGUGUUUCAGUCGUCACAGAGAAGAACAUGGUGAUGUUUCCUAGCAUGGAUGAGGUGAAAUAUAAAGUAAGGACUUGGAAAACUUCUUAUGAGAAAACACUCAGAGUUGAUACAUCAUUUUUCAAGAGAUUUCCCUAUCUUCGCGUUUUAGAUUUGACUGACUCAUUUGUACCAAGCAUUCCAGGUUACAUUGGAAAUUUGAUCCAUCUACGUUUGCUUGAUCUUGACGGCACCGAUGUAUCUUGUCUUCCAGAGUCCAUUGGCUCCCUAAAAAAUCUUCAAAUAUUGAACUUGGAGAGGUGUGCUGCUUUGCAUAGCCUUCCUUCGGCAAUCACCCAAUUGUGCAAUUUAAGGCGCCUCGGCCUUAAUUAUACACCGAUAGAUCGAGUUCCAGAAGGGAUAGGCAAAUUGGAAUUUCUCAAUGAUGUAGAAGGGUUUCCAGUUUAUGGUGGCAGUGGUAAUACUAAAAUGCAAGAUGGAUGGAACUUGGAAGAGUUGGCUCAUCUUUACCAACUAAGGCGACUUCAUAUGCUUAAAUUGGAAAGAGCAGCUGACUGCACUGCUUAUCCGUUGUUAACAGACAAAAGGUUUCUGAAAUUUUUGUAUCUAUGGUGUACUGAAUGUGCAGAUGAAUCAUACUCAGAAAAGGAUUUCAGCAAUAUUGAGAAGAUCUUUGAGCAGCUAAUCCCACCGUGUAACCUGGAAGAUCUUGCUAUUGUUAGAUUCUUUGGUCGCCAGUAUCCCUCCUGGAUAGAUUCCAGCCAUUUGGUUUAUGUAAAAUCCUUGCACCUCUUCAAUUGCAAAUUCUGUAAGCAUCUUCCACCAAUUGGGCAGCUACCUAACUUAAAAUAUCUAAAAAUCGAGGGAGCAACUGCAGUUGCCACAAUUGGACCCGAAUUUGUUGGCCGCAGGGUGAGUAAUCUUCAGCAAACAGUUGCUUUCCCGAAGCUUGAAGAGUUGCUCAUACGAGAUAUGCCCAACUGGGAGGAGUGGUUCUUUAUUGAUGAAGCAACACCAACUGCUAAGGAACGGAUUGAUGAUGGAGAUACUGCAAUGUCAAAAGGGGAAGUCUUACCUCCAAGGAUGCAGCUACUGUCACGGUUGAAGAGGUUGGAACUUUUUGGCUGUCCAAAGCUGAGAGCUCUUCCACAGCAACUCGCACAGGCCAGCAGUCUGAAGGAGAUCGAACUAAGAUGGGCAAGCAACCUGAAGGUGGUGGAGAACUUCCCCUUCCUCUCUGAGAUGCUUUUGAUUGCAACAUGUCAAUCCCUGGAGAAGGUCUCUAACCUUCCUCAAGUGCGAGAGCUGCGGGUGCAGGACUGCCCAAACUUGAGGUGUGUCGAGGUGUUGGGAACUUUGGAGCAGCUAUGGCUUUAUGAGGACAUGCAUGAGAUAUCUACAUUGUGGGUGCCUGGGCUUCAACAGCAGUGUCGACAACGUCAUGGAGAGGAUCUUGAUGUUUACAAUUGGACAUAGUGAUAAGGUAAACUUAAUAUACAGAUGUCUAAACUUAGUUGACCUUUUGAUAAUUUGAUGUGAGGUAUGCGAUCUUAUCUACUUUGGAUUCAGAUUGUGCCCUUUUUGUCAUGCCAUUGUGUGCAUAGAUGAAUUUUAUUUGCUUUACUAGUUCUUGGUCUUGAGGGUGAAAAGAUCUAGGACUUAAUUCAAUAUGUCAGACAUGACAAAUAAUCCGAAAGCAACUUCAGUAUAAGAACUAGGAAACCGUACUUUAUAGUUUUCGUACUACAAACACCUUUGUUCUGGUAACCCUCUAUUGGGUUCUGCAACCUUCCAUACAGCUCAUUAUCAGCCAUUAGCAUAUCGAUGUUUAGAUAGCAUUUGUAUAUACUCAAUACAGUUGAAGAAGUAAUAGAAGCAGGAAUGAAUGAAUGAAAUGGAUUAAUGGAUAGAUGGUAGGAGUACCAGACUGGGAUAUGUUCAGCAAAUUGAGCUCAUUGUCAUCCCACCCUAUUGUUGAACUUUGCAUCAUGAUAAUUGUGCGCAAGGCUUUUCUCACUGUAAUCCCAUCAUAUAUUGAAUUAACUGUAGUUUUGAAUUUUGAUUCAUUCAUGUUUUCUGCAGGGGUAUGUUAACCAGUGUCCAUACUUCACACUUCACCCUCCCUAAUGCAAAAUUUUUCCCUCUGCAAUCUGUUCUGCUAGCAAGCUUAUCUGCUACCUUUCGUGUGCAGGAUUCAGAGCUCAAGUUUUUUCCACAAAAUGGUUUCUAUAGACACAAAUCUGGGUAAAAUCUGGUUUCCAACCAUCUCAUGGAGACUGAAAUUAAAAUCAAGUUUUGUGUUCAUUCCUGUACUCAUCAGUUAUUAUCAGUUCACUACUGUAGUACCGUAGUUUCAUCUUAACUGUUUUGUUUCAUGAAUAACAAGUACUUGAGAAAUCAAAUCCCCGCCAAAAAAAAAAAAACACACACACACACACAAUGCAACCAAAGCUGUAGCGAAGUUCAUCUACCCAGAGACGAGAAGAGGAAGUGAGGGAGGCGUCACGUACCUCGGUUGAGCUCGAGGAAGAGGAAGAGGCCGCGUUGCCGACACCGGGCGCCGCGGCGGCGAACGGGGACCACGGAGUGCUCGAG
rnacentral:lncRNA from 1 species